AGAUUAUCCAUUUGAAUUUAGAUUUCCUAUUAAAUCUAAUGAUCAUUUUUCAAUUCCUUGAUUUCCUGUGAUUAUUUUGUUUGAAAUAUAAGAAGUUGUUGAUACUGGAUUUGCUGAUAAUAAGAUGCGACUGCCACUCCAAUGUGUGUUAUUUAGCUGUUGUUUUACUAUGUGUUAAUUUCAUGAUGGGUCGUUUUCUGCCUGCACAAAAGCUGUAGCAUCAGAAACACCUCCAUAUGCUACUGGGCACAUUUCAUAGCUGGAGCUGUUGGUGAUACACUUGGUUCUUUUGUAUAUGUUCCAUGUGAAGUGAUUAAGCAGCGCAAGCAGCUUCAAGGCUCAGGAAACUCUUGGAAUUCUGCUAUCAUGAAAGACCAAUUGUGAAUGAAAUCUGGUGAACAAAUGUAUGGUUAUUACACUGGAAUGUUCCAAGCUGGAUGUUCAAUAUGGAAAGGGCAAGGACUAAAGGGAUUAUAUGCUGGGUUAAUAUUUCCUUCUUCGUAUAUUAUAUUUACUAUUAGAUAAAUAAAUACUUGGAUCUCCACAUGCAAACAAUUAUGUUGUUCAACUCUGACCACAUAUGAUCAUAUACAUCCUGAACGGCAUAUACAUAGAUGCUUAAUAUCUUGUGUCUUCCACUUCUGAUUUGAAUGUUUCUAUCCUUUUGGGGAUUUUAUUCAAUCUUUCAGUUUAGAUGUCUGGUCCCCGAGUGCAAUCUCAAUAUAUCUUCUCUCUCUUAUCAUUUUUCAUCUUUUGUUGUUCAGCAUUCAGGGGCAUCUAACAGUAUGUGUCCAUAAGUGCUAUAGGUCUUCUGGACUGGAUCCAUGCAGAAGGUGCUAUAGGAAACAACCUAUAGUAUGAAAUGUGCAGAAUACUGAACAAAUUUUAAGGUUUAUACCAGCAUGUCACCUAUAGUCCAUAUUGUUAAUGUUGGGUCAGCUAACACAGAAUCCCUUGCAAAUGUCACUGUCCUUUCGGUCCAUUAUACAUCAUACGUAAUGUCAAUGUUGGAAAGUUCCACAUUUUCGCAUGGCAAACCACCACUACAAAUAAUACUUACAGCUUCUGGAAGUGCAGAUGUGCCACGAAUGUUCUUGAAGCUAGUAUUGCUUAGAUUAACUUUUGAUUCUUCCUGCAUAAACAAAAUAAUGUUUCCAUGAUUGAUUAACUAUUUUCACUACAUUAGGAUUUUGAGUACUAUACCCAUACCUAGGGCUGAGCAACGAAACCGAGAAAACCCAAAAACCGACACGAACCGAGUGAAACGGUUCGGUUCGGUUUUCGGGUUGGUUUGAAUAUUCAAAUCUUCUAAUUCGGUUCGGUUCGGAUUUUCCAUAUGAACCCAUUUGUUCCAUAUUGAACCGGAUAAAAAAAUUGGUUCAGUCUCCACCCGGUUACCCACUUAGGCACUUAUCUUUACGGCCUUAUCCAUAAGCGAUAUUUUCUCCACUGUUCUCCAGCCCGUCACUCAGCCCUCAGCCGUUAUUGAUUCUAUGAACAAUCUGACCAUCUCGAUCGUAUGGCCGCUUCUCUUCCUCUUUCUGGUCCACGGUUCUCACUGCUUCUACCUUCCCGGUGUCGCCCCCGAAGACUUCCAGAAGAUUCUGAUCUGGGUGAUGGAGAGCUGACUGUUAAGCUAAACUUGAAGGCUGAAAAGUUUUCAGCAUCUGCAGAAGAAAAGCUUGAGGCUGCUGGUUGUUCUCUCAUGCAUGGAUGAUUAUAGUUUCAAGCAAGUUUUUAUUUAACUUUGAUUGUUGAAUUACACUUUGCUUUGGUUGUUUAAUUUGUAGUGUGAACCGAACAAUAUGUGGAUUAUAGUUUUGUAUGGAUUAUAGAUGUGGAAUGUGGAUCAUCCAUAGCAAUGUGGAUUAUAGAUU